ACCCUUAGGGUUUGACUCAAAGCCCACUGGAGUCAAUAGGAGUCUUCCAAUUGACUUCAGCGGGCUUUGGGUCAGGCCGU
rnacentral:pre_miRNA from 1 species